ACCGGCGGCUCGAGUGGUGGCCACUAUUACUGGGCUUAAAGCGUCCGUAGCUUGGCUGUUAAGUCUUCUGGGAAAUCCAUCGGCUUAACCGGUAGGAGUUCAGGAGAUACUGGCAACCUAGGGACCGGGAGAGGUGAGAGGUACUCCAGGGGUAGGAGUGAAAUCCUGUAAUCCUUGGGGGACCACCUGUGGCGAAGGCGUCUCACUAGAACGGCUCCGACAGUGAGGGACGAAAGCUGGGGGAGCAAACCG
rnacentral:rRNA from 1 species